CAGCCGCCGCGGGAAACGUAGGGUGCAAGCGUUAAUCGGAAUUACUGGGCGUAAAGCGUGCGUAGGUGGUGGUUUAAGUCCGUUGUGAAAGCCCUGGGCUCAACCUGGGAAUUGCAGUGGAUACUGGGUCACUAGAGUGUGGUAGAGGAUAGUGGAAUUUCCGGUGUAGCAGUGAAAUGCGUAGAGAUCGGAAGGAACAUCUGUGGCGAAGGCGACUAUCUGGGCCAACACUGACACUGAGGCACGAAAGCGUGGGGAGCAAACAGGAUUAGAUACCCCUGUAGUCCCUGUCUCUUAUACA
rnacentral:rRNA from 1 species